rnacentral:rRNA from 1 species
AUUGAACGCUGGCGGCAGGCCUAACACAUGCAAGUCGAACGGUAACAGGAAGAAGCUUGCUUCUUUGCUGACGAGUGGCGGACGGGUGAGUAAUGUCUGGGAAACUGCCUGAUGGAGGGGGAUAACUACUGGAAACGGUAGCUAAUACCGCAUAACGUCGCAAGACCAAAGAGGGGGACCUUCGGGCCUCUUGCCAUCGGAUGUGCCCAGAUGGGAUUAGCUAGUAGGUGGGGUAACGGCUCACCUAGGCGACGAUCCCUAGCUGGUCUGAGAGGAUGACCAGCCACACUGGAACUGAGACACGGUCCAGACUCCUACGGGAGGCAGCAGUGGGGAAUAUUGCACAAUGGGCGCAAGCCUGAUGCAGCCAUGCCGCGUGUACGAAGAAGGCCUUCGGGUUGUAAAGUACUUUCAGCGGGGAGGAAGGGAGUAAAGUUAAUACCUUUGCUCAUUGACGUUACCCGCAGAAGAAGCACCGGCUAACUCCGUG